CGAUAGCGCCUCACAAGAACAGAGCAAAAACUCCUAAGAACCUAGAUCUUCGACUCUGCUCAGCCUCCCAAGAGCCCUAGUCAACCUCUCAAUCUCUCAAUCUUUGACUCUCUGCUCUUGUCCCUGAGUAUCUCGCUACCUCCCCGACUCGACGCCUUCCAUCAGCAGAAGAAGGAAGGUCCCUCGUCCAUUCGUUUCUUUUAGUAAGUGCUAAGUGCGUGUUUAUUUAAUUCUUGAAUUUUUUCACAUUUUUACUGUUUAAUAUGUUCUAUUUUUGUUCAUUAGGGUUCAGGAGUAUGCAGUGAUAUAUUCGACUACUAACUUUUCCUAAUUCUCCCCCCUUUUUGUGUUUUUGUUUUUCUUAUAGUUUAUAUAUAGGAGGGGUAGAUCGCAAUCUAGUGGCUUCUCUUGGACUUCUUUUGUAUAGGUAGUUCUUAUUUUUCCCUAAUAAGAAAAAUGCUCUCUUUUAAUGUUAUGUGUUUUUAGCUUUGGUUUUGAAUUUGUUUAACUUGAUUUAUUCGUUGUUCUGAUUUAUUAGCUCGUUUUGCACUAUUUCUUGCUUCUCUAUAUUUGGAAUCUCCUCUGUGGGUCUCACUGGUUUCUUUCUUCAGUGUUGUGAUGAUGAUUCAUAAGUGUGAAUGACAUUGUGCAAGACAAUGUAAUUGACCUUAUCAAUUGGUAUGAGGAUGAGGGUAGAAGAAAAGCAAAAUGAUUUUGCUAAGUAUUCACUGUCGUUUCUGGUACACUAACCUUGCAAAGCACUAGUUCCACAUUGGAAAAAAGAAAAUCAGGCUGCUGAGUCUAAGCCUUAAAAGAUUCUGGUGUUUUCUCUAUGGAAUUGCUUUUAUACAGAAAGAAAUGCCUCACAUAAAUCCCAAUUUGUAUUGCGACUAAUUGUUUUAAUUUUGGAUUUUCCUUCUGUAUGGAGCCAGCUGUAACUCAGGAUGUUUAACCUUUUUUUUUUUCCUGUUUUAGGUUUAUGUGCUUCAAUAUUUAGCAUACGUUUAAUUAGUUUCAUGGUCCUUUAGGACUAAGCAUUGGUCAUCGUUUCUAUUACUGCUGCUGCGAAAAGAUUCUUGACUAUUGGAUAUGGUACCUUGUGGAGGUCUCUCUAAGAAGUGCUUAUUUUGGUUGCACGGUAAUUCCAAAUCUUCAAAGUUGGUAGAAUGGGCUGUUAUGAAUAUAAAGGUUUAAAGAGAAGGUUGGUAUACAGUGUUCAUAUUUACAAGAUACUUUUUAUGGUUAAAAUUAAAUUCGUAGAAGUCUAUUUCAUCAAGCACAUAUAUUAUCACAAAUAAUCUUAUUGAAGCUAAAGGGAAAAAAAAAAAAAAAAAACAUCUAAGCUUUUGAAUAUGGCAUGCUUGGUACUUCAGACCACAUGCAAGUGCAAGGAUCAAAUACUUCAGCUGACUGAAGAGGACUCAAUCCACCUCGUCCACGAGUAGCACCUCCAACAGCGUAAAGUUUAUUGUUCGAGACACUAGUCUUACAAUAUGCUCUGGCAAUAGACAUAGGAGUCACUUCACUCCAACAAUUUACAAUUGGAUCAUAAUGCCAGAUGCAGUUCAGGGCCGCAGCCCCACAAAAUCCACCCAAGACAUAGAGGCAGCCAUCAACAGAUCCAAUUGAACAACCACAGCAUCUAAUCUUGUCAAAUGCAUUCUUUGUUCCAAACCAUUCCCUAAUAGAAUCCUCAAUUUUAAUAUUUGAAGCAACCACAUUCCACAGACGAAUGCUCGAUAAGCCCCUUCUAGUUCCAUCUUCAACAGAAACUUUUGGCACUGGAGGCAACCUUUGCCAUGUCCUUGACACUAUUAUGCUUUUAAUUGAUAUUGCAGAUUACUUUUUUAACAUGUGAUAUUUUUACAUAUUCAUAUUGUGAUGAAAUAUUGAAUAUUUUGAAUUUGUUAAAUUCUCUAACCUUAAUUUCUUUUGACAUUGCAAAAUUUUAUUCUAUCUCUAGGGAUUUUAUUUCGAACCAGCUGAUAACGCAAUAUAUUUUAUAUGGUGUUUCUUUAUACUUGUAAGAUAUUUGUUAAGUUUCAAAAAUAAUUUUAUUUAUCUUUUAUAUUCAUGUUGUAUACUUAGAAGUCAAUUAAAAAAUCUUCUAAAAGUUCUAAACAUCGAAGUACUGCGAUUGUUGUAGCAAUUCCAUAGACCAAUAAAAGACUAAGAGUUUCUAGUGAAGCAGAAAAUACUAUAUCUACUCCAAUUAUCGAUGAGUAAAACCCAUCCCGUCAAAUGCAAAUGCUCCUAAGAAGAAAAGAGGUCCAACCCAAGUGAUGGUUCCUGAACAUAAUUAUAAGAAAAUAGAACUUGAACUCAAUGAAUUUGGGCAAGUAGUUGUCGGUAACUCCGAUAAAUUUGCUAUUGUUGUUGGAGCCAUGGUACGAGAACAUGUACCUAUUACAAUUAAAGACUGGCAUUCAGUGGAUGAAAAGAAAAAAAUGGAACUUUGGACUUUCAUACAGGUACAUCUCUUAACUAACUUUUUACGAUUUUUUGACACCAUUCUUUUAAGUUAUAAAAUAUAUUUGUGCACAGAUGUAGCAAAGGUUCGAUAUCAAUGAUUGUCAUAAAAUAAUGACAUUUCAAUAUAUGGGAAAGUAUUAGAUGACAUUCAAAUCACAAAUUGAGAAAAGAAAUCAGAACUGAAAUAGCAACAUCUGUUAAUAGAACACGAACCAUUGCCCUCCUUGGACCAAAGAAUGUAAAUCAUGAAGAAGCAAUGGAAAAGUUUCUCAAAGAUACUCUUUCUGUUGACUUCGAAGUAAGAAAUAUUUGCUUAUUAAUGUUAAAUUUUUAUUUAGUUGUUUCUAUUUUUAUUGUUUUGUUUUCUUAAUGGGAAAAAAGUUCCAAGUUCGGGAAAAUGAGAAAGGGUCAAAAGCUUCCUCACACUUUGGGUCGAAAUGCUUUUUCACGUACGGCUCAUGAGAUGGUACAAUUACACACCUAUCUUGUCUGGUUAGGAAUGGAGUUUCAUUUCUUCUUAGUUAUAGGUAUUACACACCAUUGUUGAUUUCCUUCAAGUAUUCAUUACGUAAUUACUGGAUUUAUAUUGUAGAGAAAAAAGAAUCCGGGCUUAAAGGGGUUAAGAACUAGAGUAUGGAUGCAUGGACAUCUUAGAAAUGAUGGUAAACCGAUAAAUGAAGCAGUCACCGCAACUUUGGCACAUGUAUUCUUUCAAUGUAUAUGAUUUAUUAUACGUAUUCAAAGCUAGUAUCUAAUCUGAGUUCCAUAAGUGCAGAAAAGGAUAGAAGAUUGUGCCCAAUCAAUUUCUGAUACACCAGCAGAAAAUUCCAUCCACAAUGAUGCUGUUGCUCGAAUUUUAGGUCCUGAACAUCGUGAAAGAGUUAGAGGACUUGGAUUUGUAGUUUCACCAUCGAAAGUGGAUGGACAAUUCAAAUUAAUGGGAGAGUGAGAGAACUUGAUGAAAAGGUUGGAGCACUAGAAGAAAGGUUGAAGCACUUCUUAAAUUAUCUCAACAGGUUAUAAACUUUUAUCAUCAUAUAUAUACAAUGAUAAUAUAGCUUAGCAUAACUCAAUAUGGAGAAUAAUUUUUUAAUUUUUGUAUCAUUUACAGAAUCAAAACAAGAAUGUAGACGACUUGAGUUCACGUGCUUUUACUCAGGUUUUUGUAUCUUACAUAUUAUUUUGUAUUCACUAUAAACAUAGAAUAUAGCAUAUACUAAUUUAUUUUACUUUGAUUUUGUAGUCACAACAAGGAAGUGGUAUCUAUGGAGGGAUUGCACAUACGGAACAUGCAAGGUUUCAACUGUUGCAUUGGUGCAUAUUUAAAGAGGAAGAAAUUGUAGUUGAAGGAAGGAUUGCAUCAAUAGACCCAAGUGCAAAGGUCAUCACAUACCAAUCGGACGAGAUUGUUGGACUGUUUGGGUUGAGGAAGUGCAUAUGGGCCAUUUGAACUUAUGUAGACCUACUGAUGAAUUUUGAGUGCUUAGAGAAGCCAUAGGAAGUAUAGUUGUUUGGCUAAAGAGCAGUAUUAGACUUAUUUAACAAGGUAUGUAAUGCAUUUCUGCAUUUUUGUUUCUGUGUGUAAUAUCUGUACUUGCUAGGAAAAAAUGGUUUGAUGGAUGAAAAACAAGCACACUCCGGUGUGGUUUAGAGGCUUACUUGGGUGUAAGCCUCUGGAAAUUGAGGCAUAAGUCCUGACCAAUAGCACAUAAGGUGUAAAAUUUGGAGGGCAACCAAAAUAUGCUCAAUAUCUUUGUUGUUCACUUCACUCUUUCCUCUCAGAGUUUCUAGCAAAUAAUGUAUCAGAAGAUUACGAGAACCAUAUUUUGCACCCGUCAAAUCUUUAUUCAAGAAAAUAUUACCAACAUGUUAUACAUAUCAUUUAUUUCUCAACUAUGUGAUCCUAUAGUUAUAUUUUUUUCAUUAAUUUCUGAUGGAGUAAGAUUCUUGCAGUCAAUAAAUAAUGCUUUACAAAGUUAAUUUCUGUGUUCUGUGGAUGUACAAGUGUGCAUGCACAAAGCCUUGUACAAGCAGAAAUGUCCAUAUUUUCAUCCUUCCAUGUCAUUGCUGAUUUUCAAUGUCAAGUUUUUCCAAGUUCUGUUGGGUAUGGAUUGUUUUAAUGGAUUUAUUCUCUCUAAAAAUAGCUUACGUGGUAUCGUUUUGCUCAUUAAGAACUGAUUUACUACUUGCAAAAUUCAAGUAUAGCAGAUGAUUUUAUAAUCACCUAUCAUGACCGUGAAGCACAUAUCCUUUUUUUCUAAAUUGAGUUAGCCCUACCUUUGCAUCUCCAUGCAGCAAGAAUAGAUAAUAUGAUCAUGACUCGAAGUUGUAUGUGGUGUAGUUGGUUGCUUUUGUAUGUGGAAUAAUUCAUCUCAAGACUCAACCUCGUCAAAGAAAAAAACUUGGUGAAAGUCUUGGAAUUUUAGCAUGUAAGACGAUUUUACAUUCUGUGUUAAUGUCUAUGAAAUUCGAUUCUUUUCCUUCGAAUUGAUUAAAUGUGAUAUAGUUUACAAAAUCUAAUGGAAUGUAUGAUGGUGCUGGUGAAUUGUUUCAGGGAUGAACGUGGUUGGUGAAUGCUAGCUCCCGGGCUUUCGUUUUUGUAAAACUUGGUGAAAGUCCUUUGUAAAGUAUCCAAGCUCAACGAAUCAAUUAUCACAUGGCUAAGUUAGAGAUUCAUGGCCUUAUUUUGUAACUAGGAUUUAAGUUUUCUACAACUCAUAUCAUAUCCAUAUUUUGUAAUUGUGAGAAGAAUUACAAUAGUUAUCUUUAUGGCAAUGAUGUGGGUUUUAUGUUUAUUUUUUUGGAAUAAUGAAAUUAUUUCCAAAUUUCAGGCC
rnacentral:lncRNA from 1 species